AGCGAACGCUGGCGGCAGGCUUAACACAUGCAAGUCGAACGGGCAUAGCAAUAUGUCAGUGGCAGACGGGUGAGUAACGCGUGGGAACGUACCUUUUGGUUCGGAACAACACAGGGAAACUUGUGCUAAUACCGGAUAAGCCCUUACGGGGAAAGAUUUAUCGCCGAAAGAUCGGCCCGCGUCUGAUUAGCUAGUUGGUAGGGUAAUGGCCUACCAAGGCGACGAUCAGUAGCUGGUCUGAGAGGAUGAUCAGCCACAUUGGGACUGAGACACGGCCCAAACUCCUACGGGAGGCAGCAGUGGGGAAUAUUGGACAAUGGGCGAAAGCCUGAUCCAGCCAUGCCGCGUGAGUGAUGAAGGCCCUAGGGUUGUAAAGCUCUUUUGUGCGGGAAGAUAAUGACGGUACCGCAAGAAUAAGCCCCGGCUAGCUUCGUG
rnacentral:rRNA from 1 species